AUUAGCCUACGAACAUAUAAAACAGCGAGAAGACAACGCUGAAACAGUUACUGUAUCGUUAUCAACUAUAUCGAAACCUCAUUCAGUCGAAGAACAGAUACAUCCGGAAGUUAAGGAGGCUAAUGACAGAUUUUUACAAAUACAAGAAGAACAACGGCGACAAGAAGAAGAGUUAGAACAACGACAUGUUGAACUAAAGGAUAGACUAUUGCAAUUCCAGCAAGAACAAAGACAGAAAGAAGACGAGUUGCAAAAACGAACAGCUGAACUUGAGCUUACAAAACGACGAGCUGAAGAAGCACGAAAAAUAACUGAAUUAAACCAAAUUAGAGCGGAAACCGCUGACCAUACCGCCAAUUCCCACCACGACAGUUUAGAGAACACUCUCAACAAUAUCAAAUUGCUUCCACCCCCACCUUCAGUGCAACCUAAUUAUAGAGAAACAGCCAAAAGAAAUGGGACAGUUAAAUUGAAA